CGCCGCGCUUGUUCUUCGCUGUUUGCGAGCGUCGCAGAGCUUACGUGGACGUGUGAGAGAGUAAUUUGGAAGGCUUUUCGCAGCCCUGAACCGGUAGCUCACUGGUGGGAAGUCUGAGAAGGUUUUCGAACCUAAUUGAAUGUAAUUAGUGAUCUUGGGGAUUAGUGUAGAAGGUGUUUUAACCCGAGGAAAGCAAGAAUUUCAGCGAUAGCGCUUUUGACCUUGGGAUCAUCUUCUGUUGGCAUUGGAGUGUCAUUAGGGGCUUAACUUGAGCAGGAUUGCAGCCUUGUUGAGCUUUAUAUUGGGACUUUUUGUGGCUGAUUGGAGCUUCAUAAUAGAGCCAUCUACAGGAGAGGCUAGGGA